GCCCAGGUGGUGGAAUUGGCAGACACGCAUGGCUUAGGACCAUGUGCCGCAAGGCUUGGAGGUUCGAGUCCUCUCCUGGGCA
rnacentral:tRNA from 1 species